UACGGAGGGUGCAAGCGUUAUCCGGAUUCACUGGGUUUAAAGGGUGCGUAGGCGGCUUAGUAAGUCAGUGGUGAAAUCUCUGGGCUUAACUCAGAAACUGCCAUUGAUACUAUUAGUCUUGAAUACCGUGGAGGUCAGCGGAAUAUGUCAUGUAGCGGUGAAAUGCUUAGAUAUGACAUAGAACACCAAUUGCGAAGGCAGCUGGCUACACGAAUAUUGACACUGAGGCACGAAAGCGUGGGGAUCAAACAGG
rnacentral:rRNA from 1 species